rnacentral:lncRNA from 1 species
CCACCUGAAGUUCCUUGUGAGAAUCCUGGUGAGAUAUUCAUUUUUCUGAAAGAUGAAGUAGUUGGUGAAACCGUGGAGGCUGAGUUUGUAUCACAUGCUAAGUACAUUCGAGCACGGCUGGCCCUUUGGGAUAAGAACGUCUGGUGUAUGAAAGCUCUAGAUUUUCCUCCUGGGCCAGUCAAUGUCCGUGUCUACUGUGAUGGAAUUCUGACAGCCACAGGAGAGAUGAAAUACUCCUCGCCAGCCAUGGUGGUGAAAGGUCCAACUAGAGCGGCAGACUCAGAAGGGACUUUGUGCUGGAAUGAUAUUGAAGAACUUGAUGGCAUUCUUGCAUCCAUAUUCAAACAUGAGAUACCAUAUUAUGACUUCCAAUCUCUUCAAAGUGAAAUUUGCCCUCAAAAUGAAUAUAUGCAUAUCAACGAACUCCCAACUCUCCUCCACUGUGCUGCAAAGUUUGGCUUAAAGAACCUGGCUCUUCAUCUGCUUCAAUGUUCAGGAGCGAACUGGGCAUCAAAGAUGAAAAAUACAAGUGGAGCAGAUCCAGCUCACAUUGCUAAAAAGUACGGGCAUGAAGAACUCAAGAAAAUCUUUGAAGACUUUUCAAUCCAAGAAAUUAGUAGAAAUAAUGAGCAAUUAAAUGACGAUGAAAAGGAUAGAGCCUCCCCUUCUGCAUACUCUCCUUGGAAAACUGGGGAAAGCCCGGUGGAAAGAAGUCACAACUGGAAUGAUUUCAGGGCAAGACAGGAAACAAGAGAUGAACCCAAAGGAGGAGAAGCAAAGAAAGAAGAUGAAAAGGUGCAGGAGGCAGAGGAGGACCCAUACACGUUUGCUAAGAUUGAUGAGAACGAGUACGACAUGAUUCUGAGCAAUAUGAGUGUAAAGAAAAAACCUGGAAGCCAGUCUUUCAUCAUGAACAGACCUCCCGCGCCCACACCCCGACCCACCACCACCUUUCCCAAAGAGGAGACCAUGUCUUACAUAGCUCAAGUUUUCCAGCAGAAGGCAGCCAGAAGACAAUCUGACAGUGACAAGUCCCACGGUCUUCCUAAGAAACCAGACAAAGCACGGAUGGAGAGCCCAGCCAUGUCCAUUCCAAGGGGCUGCCUGGCAGCCGGGCAGGAAGAACUCAUCCUCCUGCAGGAGAAAGUCAAAAAUGGGAAGCUGUCUGUGGAUGAAGCCCUGGAGAAAUUCAAACAUUGGCAGAUGGGAAAGAGCAGCCUGGAAAUGAUUCAGCAGGAAAAGCUACGCCAACUACGAGACAACAUUAUUGGGAAAAGACCAGAAGAAGAAAAUAUCUGUGAUAAACUCAUCAUUGUGCACCACCCAAGUGGUACCACUGCCCACAAUGAAAACAUGUUGCAUAACACCCCCUUCAGCAAUAAGGUUCCUGCUCCACUCCAAGUUGAAAAAGAAUUUGGUUUCUGUUGCAGGAAAUAUCAUUAAAGAAGGUAAAAUAUUAGCCAUGUAUAUUAGAAAAACUAAAGGAGAUUUGUUAGGGACUUGAAUCAUUUAUCUGGGACAUGGCAGUCUUUAAAUAUUUUAUUGUCUUCUCCUGAAAGGAUAAACAUGUGUAUUUUUCAAGUUAAAAGUGAUUAUUCCUUAGCAAGAUUUAUGUAUAGGGGUGAUUUUGUACUGCAUAAUAAAUUUGAUUGUUGAGUCAUUAUUCACAAGUACGUUUCCUGUUAUCUCAUCUGCAGGUAUUAUAAUGAAACCCCAGACUGCAGACACUGUGCUUUCUGGGAGAAGCUAGCUCGCAUUUGGAUUUUCUUCUCCCUCCAGGGCAAAUUUAUACUGUGAAUUCUUGAAAGCAGAAGCAAGCCGGGGAUUUGGGGAUAUGUAAUUACCACAACGUAUUGGUGAUACCUGUCUCAAAUAAGUCCAUCCAUGCUGGAAUAGCAUAUCAUGGACCAAUGGCAUUCUGGGAAAAUGCCUGUAUUUUAAAACGACUUUGUCUCCAAUGAAAUGAGUUCUCAUUUUGCAAAUUAAAGAAAAAUAAGAGCAGAGAAGGUAAAUGCUGUAUAGCAAGGUGACAGGGCCCCUCAAGGGGCCAACCUGAAUGGCUUACUCCUCUUCUGAGACUCACCUUGACAGCACAGACUCCCAGCUUACACAUUUGCCUUUUAGGGACAGGUCUGCUGUCUGUAUUUCUUACAACCAGAGCUCUUAUUACUUUUGUUAUAUCGUGUUUCCAGAAACCUUCCUGUAUUUAGUGCCUCUCUGCAUGUAACCCUCAAAAACAUUCUAUUUUAAAAAGUUUUUUCUGUACUUCAAAUUAAGAUGCAUUUCUAUAACCUGUAUUUUUUAUUAAAAAGCUCUAAAAUUGCAUCUACUUAUUUCUUAGAAACAAUUUACUAGCUUGAAAUAGAAUGCAGUGUUAUAUUACUAUUUCCAUGCACAAAUACUGCAAAUAAAUUGAGUGUUUAAAUCUGUGCGGCUUUUCAAAACAAAUUAAUGAGAAUUAACCAAAAAAUGUUUCUGCUGAUUUGUUUAAAGGAAGUCUACCAAACUCUUUUAAAUAAGCUUGUUUAUAUUCAUUAGAUAAGCCCUAGAGAGAAGAAUAGACAUAAAUGAUUUUUUUUCUUCAUUUCUAAACAUUGACAGCAGUGUCUGUUUGGAGUCAUUCUAAAAAAUACACAUCCUAGGUUUCUGAUACCGGUUAACAUUCUCAAAUAAGCUCAACUUUUAAAAAUAAUGCAGUAGCUUCAUCAGUCCCUAAUAGAAAGUACUUUUGAUUGUGACUUCUGGAAAUUUAAUCUGUAGUUUCACAUCCAAGAUUUCAAGAAAUUGCAUGGCCUCCCCUGCACUGAGGCCCAUGCCUAUGAACCACCCCAUUCAGGGAGUUAGAAAAACCAAUAGGAGAGCUGAGACCUUUUCUGCAAUUUCCCAGAUACAUGCAAUUCAAAUAAACACAUCAUGUCUAAAGGAAGAGCUUGCAUGCAGAUCUGGGACUGAUGACUACAGUUCACCAUUCACUGGCUUUGUUCUUAUUAAAAAUGUGAAAUCCAAUGGCAGGUAAAAUGCCAGCCUUUCUGAUCAUAACACGAUUCAUUCAUUUCUUCCCUGAGACAUAGUCAAGGAUGAAAGUGAGAGAUAAGGCCUGAGUGUUAUUUAGGUAUCAGGUUAUGCCCGAGAGUUAUCAAGGGACUCCCAAUUGCCUGAAUGAGGAUACAGCAGGGGAUAAAAGAAUAAUAUACAAAAAAACAAGGAAUAAAGAAAUGAGAACAAAUGGUAGAUUAUUACUUGGGGGCCGGGGUCUGAUCUUAGCUCUCUCCUGGCUAAGAUCACACGAUCCUCCUUCUUGUCAGCAGUUAUUGUUUACCCAACAUAGCAGAGUGCAUACAGGCAGAUGUAAACAAUAGCAAAACCAAUGUACUAUUGGGCCAGGCUUGGAAAAGGGAGGAACAAUGCUUUCCUGUGAAGGACAGCUCACAGUUAACAGGCCACCUGUGUUAUCUUAUAGGUUGUAGCUAACAAGCCACC